GAUGAACGCUGGCGGCGUGCCUAAUACAUGCAAGUCGAGCGAACAGAUGAGGAGCUUGCUCCUCUGACGUUAGCGGCGGACGGGUGAGUAACACGUGGAUAACCUACCUAUAAGACUGGGAUAACUUCGGGAAACCGGAGCUAAUACCGGAUAAUAUAUUGAACCGCAUGGUUCAAUAGUGAAAGACGGUUUUGCUGUCACUUAUAGAUGGAUCCGCGCCGCAUUAGCUAGUUGGUAAGGUAACGGCUUACCAAGGCAACGAUGCGUAGCCGACCUGAGAGGGUGAUCGGCUACACUGGAACUGAGACACGGUCCAGACUCCUACGGGAGGCAGCAGUAGGGAAUCUUCCGCAAUGGGCGAAAGCCUGACGGAGCAACGCCGCGUGAGUGAUGAAGGUCUUCGGAUCGUAAAACUCUGUUAUUAGGGAAGAACAAAUGUGUAAGUAACUAUGCACGUCUUGACGGUACCUAAUCAGAAAGCCACGGCUAACUACGUG
rnacentral:rRNA from 1 species